GGAUGUGAGGUUGAUCUGGCUACAACAUCUGUUACCCCAUUUGAUGCCCAUGGUUGGUUCAGCUAAUCUGUCUGGCUAGGCAGGUGUCCCCUUCCUCCCUCAGUGCUCCAUGUGCAUCCCUCCUGAAGCUGUGCUCAGUGAAGAGGACAACUUUCUCCAGUAGAAGAAAACUGGUCUUCUGUCAAGGCUAUACAAGUAGUUGUGUUCCUCUGCUAGUACCGCCAAACAGGCUCUCAAAAACAACACAACAGACAUGAACAGGCACUUCAUACGCACACAUACAU
rnacentral:snRNA from 1 species